UACGUAGGGGGCGAGCGUUGUCCGAAGUUACUGGGCGUAAAGCGCGCGUAGGCGGUCAUUUAAGUCUGAGGUGAAAGGUUCAGCGCUCAACGUGAACAGUGCCUUGGAUACUGGGUGACUUGAGUUCGGGAGGGGGCAGUGGAAUUCCAGGUGUAGCGGUGAAAUGCGCAGAUAUCAGGAGGAACACCGGUGGCGAAGGCGGGUCUCUGGGCCGUAACUGACGCUGAGGAGCGAAAGCGUGGGGAGCGAACAGG
rnacentral:rRNA from 1 species